AUUGAACGCUGGCGGCAGGCUUAACACAUGCAAGUCGAGCGGGGUGAUGGUGCUUGCACUAUCACUUAGCGGCGGACGGGUGAGUAAUGCUUAGGAAUCUGCCUAUUAGUGGGGGACAACAUCUCGAAAGGGAUGCUAAUACCGCAUACGUCCUACGGGAGAAAGCAGGGGAUCACUUGUGACCUUGCGCUAAUAGAUGAGCCUAAGUCGGAUUAGCUAGUUGGUGGGGUAAAGGCCUACCAAGGCGACGAUCUGUAGCGGGUCUGAGAGGCUGAUCCGCCACACUGGGACUGAGACACGGCCCAGACUCCUACGGGAGGCAGCAGUGGGGAAUAUUGGACAAUGGGGGGAACCCUGAUCCAGCCAUGCCGCGUGUGUGAAGAAGGCCUUAUGGUUGUAAAGCACUUUAAGCGAGGAGGAGGCUCUUUUGGUUAAUACCCAAGAUGAGUGGACGUUACUCGCAGAAUAAGCACCGGCUAACUCUGUGCCAGCAGCCGCAGUAA
rnacentral:rRNA from 1 species